AACUUUCAACAACGGAUCUCUUGGUUCUCGCNUCGAUGAAGAACGCAGCGAAAUGCGAUAAGUAAUGUGAAUUGCAGAAUUCAGUGAAUCAUCGAAUCUUUGAACGCACAUUGCGCCCCUUGGUAUUCCGAGGGGCAUGCCUGUUCGAGCGUCNU
rnacentral:rRNA from 1 species